UAUGGAGUCUUCUUAUCAUAUGUCUAAUAUCACUUAAUAUGUCUACAUACAUAUGCUCUCUUCCUUUGUGUACCUAUAUAUAUAUAUUUAAGCUUCACAUAUUACAUCUCUAUAUAUAUUCACUAUUUUAAGGUCAUUUUGUGUCUUCAAUUAUUCAAUUAUGAUGAGUUGAGCUUUAAGCCAUCUCCUUUAUCUUCUUUCUUUUCCAACUCCUAAUAUUCACUUACGAUAGUGGCUUGAGCUCAAGAACAAAUUAAUAGAAUAAUUAUAUUGCCACAAUCAUAUUCGACCUCUGGAAUCAUAUUUAUAUUAUCUCCAUUUUAUUAGUGGGGUUGGUAACCCCUCUUAUAUGAGAAUUAAAAAAAAUCCAAUUUGAAGUCUACUUUAAUAAAUUUGUACAUAUAAAGAGUUUUAAAUCUCUAUCAAGAGUUUAGUUAAAAAAUUAUUUUUAUAUCAGAAAUCAUCUAUUAAGAGUUUUAUUUUAUUUCUAAGCAUUUGUAAAUUCAAAAAUUUAGAAAACUAUUUAAAUUAUGUUUUUUAGAAUGAACUUCUUAAGAUUAUAAUUUAAAAAAUAUAUAUUUUUAUUCACGCUCUUGGUAAAUAUUUGAAUUUCUUAAAAAAAUCGCAAAACUUCUUAAAUUUAAAAUUAUAAAAGAAUACAAAUAGAUAUGAGUGGUUGUUGAAAAAAAUCAAGAUUCUGUUCGGAUAAUGUUCAAUAAAUUUUUAAAUUUUUUUUUUUUGGAAAUAUUGAUUUUGUUUGUUUAAAGAAAACAUAAAAAUGUUAGGAAGAGGGAUUGAGCCAUGUUCAUGGAUUAUAAAAAAUUAAACAUAAAAAAAAAUCAAAUCAACUAAAAGAACCACGUUAAUAUAGUUUUACGAUUAAUAAUACAUUCAAAUUCUAUUUUCCAAAUUUAAUAAAAACUAAAAAUAUGGAAUACUCCAAAACUACCCUCCAACCAAAAAAAAUCUUUUAAAAAAAUUCCAAAACUAAUUCAAACGUAAAUAAAUUAGAGGUCUCCACCUUUGUUUUCAAUCCGGUUUCUCAUUGUUCUGAUUUCACCACUUUAUCACCAAAUCUCAAAAUUGCAGAACCUAAGAAUCUUCCCUCGUUCUAGAAUAGUCUAUCUAAGAUUCUCAUGUUAACGAGUUUUCCUUUGAUUUUGUUCUGAAUAAUUCCUAAUGGCAUAUCUCUCUAAACCUCGUUUGAGUCAUGCUUUUCUUUUCAACUCACGAUUUGCACCACUAUCUAUUGUUCUCUUUGAUUCAGGUAUUCCUCUCUUAAUUUAUAUUAAUGCAAUGCUUCCAAAACAUAUAAGUAGAGGCAUAACUAGUGAGAAACCUCACUUUUUUUAUUUGAACAUGUGACGUCUCUGUUCUUGUUAGCUAUUUUGGUGUCUAUUAAUUCUCCAUCUUUAUGAUGCUACGCAAGACAAAGAAAAUGUGCCUUAUAUGCUUGUAUAUAUAUUUGAGUUGAAAUAUUAUUUUGAUUGCAAUUAAUAUUUUUUUUGUGUUUGUAAAUUUAUAAAUUUCAGUUUAGCAGCAUAAAAUUGUUGGAAGAAUUAAAAGGUUCUCUGCAUGGGUUACUAAAGUGAAAGUGUUAGGAUUUGUAACCUUGGUCAAAAUUGUAUGAAUCAAGUUCAUCUCCCAUUAAAAUUUCAUAAUUCUUGAUUGUGUAUGGGUUCAUAACUCAACUAAAUUAUAAUAAUUGCAUUUAGUUUCCUUUCA
rnacentral:lncRNA from 1 species